GACGAACGCUGGCGGCGUGCUUAACACAUGCAAGUCGAGCGGUAAGGCCCUUUGGGGUACACGAGCGGCGAACGGGUGAGUAACACGUGAGUAAUCUGCCUUUGGCUUGGGAAUAACUUCGGGAAAUCGGGGCUAAUGCCUGAUGUUUACUGUCUGCUGCAUGGUGGGUGGUGGAAAGAUUUUUUGGCCAGGGAUGAGCUCGCGGUCUAUCAGCUUGUUGGUGGGGUAAUGGCUACCAAGGCUUUGACGGGUAGCCGGCCUGAGAGGGUGUUCGGCCACACUGGGGACUGAGACACGGCCCAGACUCCUACGGGAGGCAGCAGUGGGGAAUAUUGCGCAAUGGGCGUAAGCCUGACGCAGCGACGCCGCGUGGGGAUGAAGGCCUCGGUUGUAAC
rnacentral:rRNA from 1 species